GUCUUUUUGUAUUAUAUUUAAAGUCUAACCUGCCCACUGAAAAUUUUAAAGGGCCGCGGUAUUUUGACCGUGCAAAGGUAGCAUAAUCAUUAGUCUUUUAAUUGAAGGCUCGUAUGAAUGGUUGAACGUAGUAUUAGCUGUCUCAUAAAAAAUUAAAGUAGAAUUUAACUUUUUAAUUAAAAGGUUAAAAUAAAUUUAAAAGACGAGAAGACCCUAUAGAGCUUUAUAAUAUUUUUGUAUAAUUUAUUUAGAAAAAUUAAAAUAAUACAUAAUUUAUUAUUUUGUUGGGGUGACAAUAAAAUUUAAUAAACUUUUAUUAAUUAUAAACAUUAAUUUAUGAAUAAUUGAUCCAGUUAUAUUGAUUAUAAAAUUAAGUUACCUUAGGGAUAACAGCGUAAUUUUUUUUAAGAGUUCAUAUCGACAAAAAAGAUUGCGACCUCGAUGUUGGAUUAAGGGUUAUUUUUGGGUGUAGAAGUUCAAAGUUUAGGUCUGUUCGACCUUUGAAUCCUUACAU
rnacentral:rRNA from 1 species